GGGGCUAUGGCUCAGUGGUAGAACCCUUGCCUAGCAUGCAAGUGUUCUACCAAAGCCCUGGGUCAAAUCCCUAGCACUG
rnacentral:tRNA from 1 species